rnacentral:tRNA from 1 species
GCUGCCGUAGCUCAGUCGGCUAGAGCGCCAGAUUGUGGAUCUGGAGGUCAUGGGUUCAAGCCCCAUCGGCAGUA